AGCUGCGGAGAAGGAAUAGAUCAGGCAGGUAAGAAACAAGCAGAAGCACCCUAGCCUGAGCCCUGCACCGAGUCGUGUGGUACUUGCAGUUGGAGGCGUGGGCUGUCUUUUUCUCCCUGGGUACUGCUUUUUCUGUAAAUCCAGAGGUUCCCUCCUGCUGAACUGAGGGCUCUUUUCUCCCUGGGGUGGCACCGGUCCGGCACUAACUUCUCCCUAGCCCCGCUCCUUUCUUGCCUCUUUCAGGCUUUUCUGUUUGAUGGAUCAUUUGAGGCACUGCAAGUAGUACUGUUUACCAAGCAGUUUUCCCGGAAGAUCUCCAUAGCACUCUCCUUCCCAGCUCCCUCUCCCCGCAGCUGUCUAUAGCCACUACUAACCAACCUUUUCUGCUUUUUGGGAGUUACAAUGCUAGCUGCCAGCCAGCACGAAAAUCCUGCUGUGGUUGCAGCAGCAGAGCUGUUGAUACGGUCUGACUCCUAGCCCCUCUUCUUCCCAAAAAAUAAGCCUGAAAUUGCAUGUCGAGAAAGAAAUAAGUUAGUACCAGGUCUUUUAGGGUUUACUCACUGGCACUAACAUUGAUUGCUUGUCUGCGUACUAGAUUUGGGAAGUCCCUGCCUUUGGGACUGUCUUCUCCUGUCUCAGUCUCUCUGACCACCUCGUUCUGCUCCUGCUGCUUUAGGACUCCGCUUGGCUGGGAGGUGUUGGAGGGGCUGUAGUGAGUCAGUGGGAAAAUUAAGGCUUUGGUUCACUGGUACUGCUGCAGCUGGGAUGUUAGUGCCUUAUAUGAAGGGAGUGCAGCUGCUCUUCCCCUGCCUGCCUUCUCUGAACUCCCGGUGACUCAGUGGAAAGGAUCCCAGAUAAGAGCUGAGGUGGCAGUGGAGGAGGAGGACUGUGUGUCAGGAGCCGCUCGGAGCAGCCCUGAGGACAGAGAGUAGCAGGUGUAGAGCUACAAGGCAAGAGGAGGCAGAGCAAGGGGGGGAGAGGAUGGCUCAGAGGUUCGUGCGUGUUAGCAACACUUGUGCCUCCUGCGGCAACCAAGUCAGAGAUGCUGAGGAGUCCAGUCCUGUUUGUCUAAGACAGAGGUGGCUUGGCUUAGCCAAGGAGCGUGGGUUCUGCUCCACCUUAACUCCCUAGGAUCUGGCUGUUGGCUUUACUGCUGCAGGUAGAAAGGGAAGAGGAGUGAUCUGAAAAAUUGGCAGGGCAAGAACUGAAGAGCUGUACGAGGACCUGUACAUAAAGGUGAUUACGAAAGAUUGGCUGUACUUGGCCUGUAGCACUUAUAUCUCAGCCCACAUCUUUGUUUUCCUCUUGCUGGCCUGGGCAAUAUUUCCAAAGAUUUAUCUGUGACGAGGUAGAAAGCCAUCUGCACUAGUACCGGUGUCACGCAGACUUGCCCGUGUGUCCUAAUCAGGCUGCAUCUUUGGAAAACAAAUGCAUGCUUUAACUGUACCUUACAACAGGUCAGCAGCAGCAGGGAUGAACCCAGAGGGGCUGGCUGCAAUUAGCUGGGAGAAGCUCAGCAGCACCACCAGAGUUUCAUUUGGCUUUGGGAAUGGGCUGUUCUCGAGGGCUCUGCUGGGUUUUCAGACCCGAUCUCCUGUAAAUAUCUUUAACUGCUUCAGUGCUGCCUGGCAUUGUCAGGUCCUGUCUCUGCCUGUCCUGCAUUACUGGCACACAGUAAUGAGAUGGGUACCUGCCUUCCAGAGGAAGGGGAUGCUCGCGAUGGCCUCAGGAGGAGCAGCCUUGGGGAGGCUUUUCUGCCCUGGCUGACGUCUGGUGGUGGCGGAGUAGAUGCUUCCCCCUCCUCACACAGUGCAGACGUGCUUGAUGUUGGCAUAGAGGAUCAAGAGGCGGGCUUGGGCUAUCACAUGUGUAACCCUCAGGGAGGUUACUGAAUGCAGCCUUUAUUAAAAAGCUCUUCUCAAACUUGCAGACUGAGGCUUUUAAAAUUAAGCAAAACCACGGUGGCUCCUGAGCUGCUGACACGUCACUAGAGAGAGGGCAUCUGAGCAAUCCUUGCAAUGGCUGAGCCACCACCCACAUCGUGAUGUGUCCCUGGUGCCAUCGUCAUCUCUUAUCUGUGAACCAGAUCCCAGAAAGCCUCUGCCCUUGGCUCUCCCAGCUUGUUGGCCCUUGACCACAUACAGGUUUCAGUGUGUGGCUUACUGGCUCUGGAAAGCUGUUUGAUUUCCUGCUGAAGGUGGUUGAACUCUCAGGAAGGGUUGAAGGAAUUGCUGCUAGGGGAGUUUUAUUGAUUGGGGUUUUUUUAUUCUUUCUACAUGCGUUUUGUAAUAUUUUCUAAACGUAAAUAAUUUUAGGUGUCCAGUCUUGGGGCAGAAGUGUGUGUGUGCAGGUCUUGGAACUAUGUGUUCUCACUCAGCUCUGACCCAUCUGUGACAAGCAUGGGACAGAUGUGCUGCUCCCUACUGCAGAUUUUUGUUUCUUUUGGCAAGGAAAGGGGUCCCUGCCCACCCUCUCCCCUCCUGGCCCCACCGCUUGUUGCCUGCACAGGGGAUGCAAGCUGGGAAGCCUACCUUCCACCUUGGAGACAAACCCGAGGCUGCGCUUGAGGUCGGAGCAGAUGGAGUGGAGGCACCAGCGGAACUUGGCAUCGCAGCGGUAUUUGUUGGCCCCGCAGGUGUCGUAACAAAUGUCCAGCUGAUUACAGCACUUGGUCAUGGCAGGGAUGCCCAAAUCUAGCUGGGGAAAGAGCAAAAAGAAGUGUCCCUUGGCUGCCUCCUGGCUUCAGGCUCAAACUAGCUGCAACUGGGUGAGGUUUUGCAGAGCCCAGAUGGCUUCUUUUCCAGAAGCUACCCCUGGUGGCUGGGGCAGCAGGAGGGAAAACAUGCUUCUCCCUCACCACGUAAACAAAGUGGUGGCAGUAAUGCAGGUCCAGUGAAGGACAGACCACAUUCCCUUCUCUCCUGUCUGUCACAGGUGAUUAACUUCUGGUAGAGGUGGGGAACAGCCCUUCCAUGACCAUGUGCUAGUUCCCAUUUGUCAGAGCUCACAGGAGAGCUUUCUGUCCUUGCUAGCAGUGGCAAAGGCCCCUUUUCUCUUUCCUUAUUUUCUCAUUUUCUAAUAAAUCUGCUAUAAGUGUUGUUUUAAUGUCAUUUCUCAUGGAUGUUCGUCAGGCCAAGGACAAAUAUAGGUUGGUCAGGGUUGUUCUGCUCACUUGGAGGUAAACAGUAACCUUAGCUAAUAAUCGUGGGGGGAUGGGGCAGAAGGCCUGUCUCCUGGAGAGACUGGACUCAUUAGCUUGUUAUAAAUUCUUCCUCUUUUUGGCCUUCCUCAUGUAAUAUUUAGGAGAUGGGUUCUCUCUUCAUUGCGCCCAGCACUCAUGACUGCCUGCAUAAGGAGGAGGUACCGCAGAAAUGCCCGCAAGGUUUGCAUUGAGAUGUAGUUUAAGGAACUAAUCUAACAUGAAAAAUGGGCUGGAAAGGGAGGUUUUUUUCAGAGCAGGAAUCUGGCUAAUUGCUGCAGACUUCAUAGGCAGCAGCAAUGCAUGAGCUAAAUAGUAAUUCCAGCUCUUCUUGCCUCCUGGGAGUGCUUUUCCUGGUGAUUCCAAUAUGAUUUCAUUACUUGCCUUUAAAAUAACAAGUGGGCACAGUAUUAAAGCCCACAGGUUUCUUUCAGUGCUUGGCAGAGGUGAAAAGCAUGGGAGGCGAUGAAGGGCCAGGGGUGGAAAAUGCGUUCAGGUAUUGUUGUUAGCACAUUAUGCCAUGUCACUUUGCUGCCCAGCAUUGAACAUGUCCCCUGACCUAUCACAGCGGCACAGGGCUGAUCAGGGCCUUGAUAAAAAUGUGUUUCUCCGCACUGGUGCUCUGCCUGGCCGGGUACCCCCUUUUCUUCUUCUAGUGCUAACCUGCUCAGGAAACUUCCCUCUUUUGGUACCUACCGAGACGACCGGAGUACCAGGCCAGUCCUUUGUAAAUGUAACUCCUGUCUACGUGAUUCCUGUUUCACUGCCAUCAGCAGUUGAGAUCUUAACGCCUCCCUGACCGACAGUAAGUUAGGCAGUGCUCCGACUGACGCGUUUGCCUUGCCGUCAGCAGGCAGCCAUGUCUUCUGGCAGUCCCGGACAGACAGCUUGUCCCCUAACAGCACAUAGGUGCUAUUUCCACCCCUUUCCAGAGCUCUGGUUUCAGCUGUGAAGAGAAGUGAUCACACAGUCCGUGUAUAGCCCAGCUAAGCCUUUUCCCUCCCCAAUACCAUUAGCUGGUCACUGUGAUUAGAAAAUAGCAUCAUUUGGGAAUGGUGGAUGUGGCAGUACAUACACUUUCGGGUACCUUGAGCCCCAGAAAAUAGGAGCUACAGCCGUUGGGUUCUUGGGGUUUGUAGUGAGGUCGUGGCAUUGGAGCCUUACCUGAGAAAGAAAGGAAAAAUGUUAGGAAAGCCGAUCUUCCCUAGAGUAGCACCAAAAAGCAAGGAGAGUGUCAGGUAGCUCCCCUCCGGUCUGCAUCCCCAAGCACCUCAUUCCCCUCCAGGAGAUGCAGGGAGCAAAGGGGUAGGCACUAGAGCUGGCUGAGGCUCUGGCCCUGCUCUCGGAUCAGUUCAGUUGCGGCCCUAGAGCCUGUCUUAGCUCAUACCUCCUCUGGCAUUGGCCACUGGAGCAGUGUCUUCUGUGUGAACUGGGUUCCUAUCGCUUCUCAAAUGUUAAACUGGUCUGAGUCCAGUCCCAAGGUCUGGAGCUUUCCCCAGCUCUUACAAAUGGGCAAGUCCCUCUGAAGCAUGGGGUUUUGCAGUUGAGCAGCCCUCCAUGCUAGGGCUAGUGCCUCAGACAUCCCAGAUCUCCUAGGAGCUUCUUCAUGUGCUUCCUGAGAGCUCUGCACAGCUGGCAUCACCCAGAUAUGGUUUUAACUCCUCCAAGAAACUACUAGCUAAGCAAGGGGGCUUCUUUCUAUCUUCAGUUCACUCUGAGUGUCAGCAAGCUGUGGAUCUCUGCAAAAUUGUGCUAGGCAUUGCUUGUCUGAUCUUACUCUGAGUAGGAGGUUGUCUUUGUCCAUUUUCUGCAUGUGGUGAUGCACUGCCACAGUUUGCAAAUAGUUGCUCUCCCUUUAUCUCUGCCUUCCCUUAGUGCGCUGCUUAAUAUGCGUAGAGGAGCAAGAAUUUCCUCUGUGAAUAAUUAUUUACCCAGUGUAGACAGAGUCCAGCUGACAGUCAGCUAACAGAAGCUUCAGCAGCAAUUUAAUCUGCUUUACUUUGCUUCGUGAAGGUGUGCAAGCUGUCCUGGCUGCCUGCCAGCGCAACCUGGGGCUUUGUGUAUGGUUGACAGUGCUCUGGGUGUGAGGGGUGGGCGCCUAGGGCUGGCGUGGGAACUGUCCCACGUGGAAAGGAGGUCUGUGUGUCUUCCCUGCCCUGUCUCAUCCUCUUUCUCUCACCCCUACCUCAACCCCCCUCUCUAUCUAACCUAACACCCCCUGUUUGGGGAGGACGAGUUGCCAGGUUGCUUCAGUGCCUUGACCCUGCUGUGCAGGAGCUCAUUUAAAGGUGGGAGUGGAUUGUCCCCCGGAGAAGUCAUGGAGACCACCCCUCAUGGAGCUGGGUUUCUCCAUAUUGUCCCUUGAUGUGUGUUCAGUGCUUGUUCCGGUUCUGUCCCAGCUGGGUUUAUGAAGGGGAGAUCUCAAAUGCAGAGUGAGGGGUUAAAAUAAGACAUUUGAACCCUGCUCUGGGGAAACUUUAUAAGCUGUGUGAAUGCUCCAGCAAAAACACAUGAAAGUUGAGCCUUCCUUAAGUCCAUCCGUCACCUCUAGGGUUAAGUUUCUGCUUCCCUGAGCACCACUAGAUCACUUAUAUAGACAUGAAAUAGAUCUAAUUUAGCCCUUCAGGCAGGGUUAUGUUCUUUUAGACUUGAUUUCCGCUGUUUUCUUCUUGUCAGCACUGAUAAUCGUUUAAGACGCUUUUCCCCUUUUUUCUGUCAAGGUACCUAAAGUACCAGUGGUUAAUAUAGGCAUAAAUCUACUGUGUUCUUGGGAAGACCUCACAGCCAGCUGCCUCGGAAGGUCUUACACAGGGGUGCUCCCAGCACAUCCUAAAUUAAAAAUUGCCAGAGUGAUUUUGUUUAAACAACAGAUUUGCAACAAAUAAACCACAAACUGGAAUCCUGUCCAGCUGUGAGACACCAAUAGCCAAUUUUCUCCAACCCGACAGAAAUGCAGUAUGUACCAAGGCUUCAGCUGCCUGCAAGCCAGGGUAAAGCUCUCUAGUCGACGUUACCAUCAGGUAAUGGCAUUUGUGUGGGAAGGUGUUUCUCAGUACAGUAGUUGCCACUGCAUUUCUACCUUUUGGCCCCUUUUGAAUAGGUCAGACCUGCUUUACGGUCCAGAUUUAAUUUUCUAGUGCGGAAAGCUUUGUUAUUUUGAGCAGGUAGAGCUGAGUUAACAGCAGACAAAGAGCACAAAUCAGUUGGUUGCAGCACACCAUCGUUACAGGAUUAUCUUCACGCCAAAACGUAACUUCAGGUGGUGAGGUGUGCUGACGCAGCGUAAUUUCUGGGGUCAUGACACAUAGCGCAUUACACUAUUUCGGUGGUUAUGCUAUAGAAGGAAGGAAUUACAUCUCUAUACGGGAUGAAUCUAUAACCCAAGGCUCCCCAGCAACAUCACGAGAGGAGGGCUGCACCCAGGUCUCGGUGCAAUUCACAGCCUAGUUGCUCUUGUGGAAGGGGGUGAGAACUGGGACUCGGAAUUCAAAUGUUCCUGAACUGAGGUAGGAGGCAGAGGGGCGUUUAAAAUCCAAGGUGUAUUUUGCAGGAUGAGGACAAAUUUUAAUGACUUGCUUCUAAUAUAAGAAGUUAUGUUCCUGCAGCACGUUGUCAGUUAAUGGGAUAAGGUGGCAAGUCAGAGUAGGAGUGAGACUGUCUGGGGAUAUGGAGAUAACUCAGUUUCCAGAUAAAACUUUCCACUAAGCUGAAGUUACAGCUAUUAUAAUGUCUUAGAAAGUUGUCCUGAGGGGAAAAAAAAAAUAUAUCUCGUAUGAUAAUUGUGAUGAUCAAUAAAACAUUGAACUGCCUUCAAGAUAUGCUCUUGUAGGAAACCUGCCCCCCUCCUCUCUGAAAAACAAAGCUUGAUGACUUGUAAAGAUCACCUUUGUGAAGUCUUUCUCAGCUAGAUAAAGUCCAAGACGCCACAGUUAACCUCUCUCCCACAUCUUCUUUUCUAGCUAACAGGAAAAUGAAAGCAAAGCAGAAAUAGGUGUUCCUGACUCUACGUGAGCAUUGACUCAGUGCUCUUGUUAUCAUUUUUUGCUUGUCCAUCCUUGUAAGGCAUGUCUGCGAUGGGGAAGGGACUCGGUGGGUCACGCUGGCCGUUUGGCUGGCUGUGCUUCACCAGGGGCCCGUCGCGGCCUGCCUGCGUGCUGCAGGGCAUCGCAGGGGAGAGGUGCCAGGCGGCGGCUGCCAGCACAGCAGCACCCGCCCAGCAGCACGCUGAAGAGCGCUGCCGAUGUGUCGGAGCACGGCAUUGCCGGGAAAGCCUGUUCUUUGGAAGAAGGUAGACUUCAGGGCACUGCCUUGCUGGUACAGCCUUAGAGGAGAAAUGAAGUUGAGUUUCUAAGGGGAAGUGAGUUUCCCUGAUGCGUUUUAAUAUCUCCAGGCUGUUGUAGCUAUGCCAAGAGACUGGAAAACAGCCAGCUGGCUCGAACAGCUGCUGGUGAUGCAGGAGGUCUCAGACACUGCAGUACAAGUACACUGGCAGGGGGAAGUGAAUGUAUUUCUGGGUGAAUAGAUGAUCGUGGGGCUCCUUGCUGUUUUGAGUGACCCAUUGUUAUUUCUCUGCCCCAGGCAAGCAGGCUUUGGGCAGCCUUUUAGAGCUGUGCUGGAGAGCCUGACUUCACAGGCUCUAUUCCCACCUCCUGGCUGUGCUUUCUCAUCUUAAGCCUCUCGGGACCAAAUGCAAAACAUUGAAGUCCAGCCUGGCCAGAGAGCUGAAGGAAGCCAUCAAGGGAUUUACUCCUAGUUCGGGCUGUUUUCCCCCCUGAGAUGCCCAGAGGAGACCUCACUAGCUGCUGAAAAGUCAGGAGGAGAGUCUUACAGCCAGAACAGCCAAGUGCUUCGUGCUCAGCUGAAGAUGGAUGUGGCAAUCACAGAUAAAGCAUUUCUCCAAUAGGAUGCAGGAUGCUCUCAGGGAGCAGGCAGGUGUUUGAGCUGCUCUGUGGAGAUGCUCUUCCCUCUGCCCAGAGUGCAGGGCCAAGGCAGCGGGGACCGGGACAGGGAGAGCCCCAGCCUCGGGAUGUGCCCAGGAGCGACGGCUUCUCCAG